GGGAGUGUUCUCCAGCGGCAACGAGAGCAGACUGUAAAUCUGCCGUCUUUCGACUUCGGUGGUUCGAGUCCACCCACUCCCA
rnacentral:tRNA from 1 species